UGUUUCGGCUAGGGGGCCAUCCCGGCUUACCAACCCGAUGCAAACUGCGAAUACCGGAGAAUGUUAUCACGGGAGACACACGGCGGGUGCUAACGUCCGUCGUGAAGAGGGAAACAACCCAGACCGCCAGCUAAGGUCCCAAAGUCAUGGUUAAGUGGGAAACGAUGUGGGAAGGCCCAGACAGCCAGGAUGUUGGCUUAGAAGCAGCCAUCAUUUAAAGAAAGCGUAAUAGCUCACUGGUCGAGUCGGCCUGCGCGGAAGAUGUAACGGGGCUAAACCAUGCACCGAAGCUGCGGCAGCGACGCUGAUGCGUUGUUGGGUAGGGGAGCGUUCUGUAAGCCUGCGAAGGUGGCCUGUGAGGGUUGCUGGAGGUAUCAGAAGUGCGAAUGCUGACAUAAGUAACGAUAAAGCGGGUGAAAAGCCCGCUCGCCGGAAGACCAAGGGUUCCUGUCCAACGUUAAUCGGGGCAGGGUGAGUCGACCCCUAAGGCGAGGCCGAAAGGCGUAGUCGAUGGGAAACGGGUUAAUAUUCCCGUACUUGGUGUUACUGCGAAGGGGGGACGGAGAAGGCUAUGUUGGCCGGGCGACGGUUGUCCCGGUUUAAGCGUGUAGGUGUGUGUUCCAGGUAAAUCCGGUUCACUUUAACACUGAGGCGUGA
rnacentral:rRNA from 3 species